rnacentral:rRNA from 1 species
GAUGAACGCUGGCGGCGUGCUUAACACAUGCAAGUCGAACGAGAAGUGAAGACGGAAACCUUCGGGCGGAAGGCUUUAUUUCGAGUGGCGGACGGGUGAGUAACGCGUGGGUAACCUGCCUCAUACAGGGGGGUAACAGUUGGAAACGACUGUUAAUACCGCAUAAGACCACAGCACCGCAUGGUGCGGGGGUAAAAACUCCGGUGGUAUGAGAUGGACCCGCGUUCGAUUAGCCAGUUGGCGGGGUAACGGCCCACCAAAUCGACGAUCGAUAGCCGGUCUGAGAGGAUGACCCGCCACAGUUGGACUGAGACACGGCCCAAGCUCCUGCGGGAGGCAGCAGUGGGGAAGAAUGCACAAUGGGGGAAAGCCUGAUGAAGCGACGCCGCGUGAGUGAAGAAGUAUUUCGGUAUGUAAAGCUCUAUCAGCAGGGAAGAAAAUGACGGUACCUGGGUAAGUAGCCCCGGCUAACUACGUG